UCAGUUAAUUCUCUUUAUUUACGAUUUUAGGGAAUACUACUUUCUAAUCACUUUGUAAUAUUCCCUCAGAGGUAAGGCUUAGCUCCCCCACCCUCCCUUCUGUGUGUGCAUGUAUUCUGUGAAACCUCAUGAACAUAUGGGACUUUGUGAUUGGAAAUAAAAAUGAAUUGUAUGUAUUUGCUAUAUUUGAAAUAUCAUACAGUAAAGUAUAAAAUAGACAGAGAGUAUCGGCGGGAAGAAAGAUGAGGGGCGGGGAGGGAGCGGGGGCAGGAGAGGGACG
rnacentral:lncRNA from 1 species